GAAUAGUUAUUUGAGAAGCUGCUAACUUUUCUAUAGUGAAAACUACUAUAUA
rnacentral:tRNA from 1 species